AUUGAACGCUGGCGGCAGGCCUAACACAUGCAAGUCGAACGAGUGGCGGACGGGUGAGUAAUGUCUGGGAAACUGCCUGAUGGAGGGGGAUAACUACUGGAAACGGUAGCUAAUACCGCAUACCAUCGGAUGUGCCCAGAUGGGAUUAGCUAGUAGGUGGGGUAACGGCUCACCUAGGCGACGAUCCCUAGCUGGUCUGAGAGGAUGACCAGCCACACUGGAACUGAGAAACGGUCCAGACUCCUACGGGAGUCAGCAGUGGGGAAUAUGGCACAAUGGGCGCGAGCCUGAUGAAGCCAUGCCGCGUGUAUGAAGAAGGCCGUCGGGUUGUAAAGUACUUUCAGCGGGGAGGCGUUACCCGCAGAAGAAGCACCGGCUAACUCCGUGCCAGCAGCCGCGGUAAUAC
rnacentral:rRNA from 1 species